UCUGGUCACGCCCGAGCUCUGAUGCAAGCGAAGAACCUUUUCCCUAAUACGUACCUCAUUGUGGGAGUUUGCAGUGAUGAGCUCACACACAACUUCAAAGGCUUCACGGUGAUGAACGAGAAUGAGCGCUAUGACGCAGUCCAGCACUGCCGCUACGUGGAUGAGGUGGUAAGGAAUGCGCCCUGGACGCUGACACCCGAGUUCCUGGCCGAACACCGGAUUGAUUUUGUAGCCCAUGAUGAUAUUCCUUAUUCAUCUGCUGGCAGUGAUGAUGUUUAUAAGCACAUCAAGGAGGCAGGUGAGUGAGCUGUGCUUCCUCACUGUAGGGGAUCUCAGGGCAGCUGCAGAUGUUCAGCCAUGUUGCUGCUUUACAGAGGAAAAUGUGUACAUUAGAAAUUCAACAUCCUCUUUCAGGCCACAUUUUGGAUAAAAGGUAAAGAUGAGCAUAGCACCUAUCAAUUCUUUG
rnacentral:sRNA from 1 species